GAUGAACGCUGGCGGCAUGCCUAAGACAUGCAAGUCGAACGGAGUGGCCCAUUGAAAGUUGAGUGCUUGCACAAGACUAGAUUUGGAUUUCCACUUAGUGGCAGACGGGUGAGUAACACGUGGGUAAUCUGCCUCAGGGACUGGGACAACAGUUGGAAACGACUGCUAAUACCGGAUGAUUCACAUUUACAUAAGUAGUUGUGCUAAAAGGGGCUUCGGCCUCACCUUGAGAUGAGCCCGCGGUGUAUUAGCUUGUUGGUGGGGUAAUGGCCUACCAAGGCAACGAUGCAUAUCCGAGCUGAGAGGCUGAUCGGACACAUUGGGACUGAGACACGGCCCAA
rnacentral:rRNA from 1 species